CAUUGAAAAAAAUAAUUUAACUUAAAAUUUCAACUAGUUUAUUUCGGGCUAUUUAGUUUUUUCUACAAGUGAUUUCUAGCUCUAGGUACAAUCAAUGCCAAAAUUACUUGGAACACCUAACACUGCGCUGUGCUUUUCUAUUUCUGAUUUGUUUCCCCGAAUACAACUACUUCCGUCCCCCUUUCCCCCAGACCAGAACAAUGUUAGAGGUAUAGAAAAAUAUAAUACAAGCCACAAGGAAAAGCGUACUCCAUAACCUUCUUCUUUUUUCUAUACUAAAUCAACAUUGUACCUAGAAGGAGAGGGAGAUGGAUGAUUUUGCCUAGGAAAACUGACGUUGGUGUCAAUUUGAAAGAAUUGCGUUCCUAUCAAUUUAUAUAAAUUUACAGCGAGGACCUGACAUUUAUCUGGAUUUUCAAUCAUUUGAUUUUCUUCUAGCAAAGCCAGACCUAUGCUUCUUCUUCAAGCAUUCAGAUGUGGUAAGGUCCUUGAAAAAUAUGUUAGCAUGUUUCCAACAGGAAAGUUCAAAGCCUUACCUAUUUCAUAAGGAAACAAUAUCAUUUAUGUAAACGUUCAAAUGAAGAGAACCAAGGACAGAACCCUGCUGUACCAGAUAAUUUAAAACAAAAUACCUUCCUUAAACUUAAGGGAGGUUGCCCUGAAUAAAAUGCUGAUCAAAUGACAUUUUACCAGAGUUAAUUUCACGAGGGAUGUUGUUCAAUUUGAUUUCGCUAGGGAAUUCUUAUUUUAGCUGAUUUGGAUAAUUCUCAUUUGGGUGACAAUUGUCAUGCUUCGAAUUGGUAUUUAAGUCCAUUUUGUGCUUCUUUAAUGCCAUUGGGAAUAAAUUUUGAUUCAGAUGGGUGUAUUUAAUUGCUUUGGGUCGGGAUUAUCGUGCAUAUUUAGUAUGCUGUUUCCACGCUGUUCUCUCGUCACCACUGUGUUUGGCUAAGGCUUGUUGAAGAAGAGGUGGCUGACGAAGUAUGGCUUGCUGACCUCUACUGGCCACCAGCGGGAUUAGCCUUUACAACGAACUAGAUGCCAAAACAAAACGAGCCUCCGAUUUAAAAACUUUGGAGAGGAACCAAUGAAAACUUCCCUGCCUUAGAUGAUAUGGGUCUUUAAAAGCAAGUCAAGCAGACAGUUGAGGAUAUUUGAGCCAGAACAAAAUCAGCCAAGCAUCAAGUUGCUAAAAAGAAAGAUGUAUAGCCAAGCAUGAAAGGAAACAGCUACAAUAAAUGAGAUCAAUCUUGGCGAAGCAAUGAAACAAAAGUGAGUAAAAAGUCAGAUCAUUUGGGACUAACAGUCGUAAGUAAUCUCUUUGCAUUAGAUUUAUUAAUGCUAUAAAAUUAAUUUGAGUUGAAACAAAAACUGCACGAAACUUAAUAAUAGUAAUAAUAUUUUAAAUUCACAAAGGUUAAUUUGUUCAGUAAAUUAAAUUACUGGCAUCAAUCAAAGUCCUGUAUUUUACGUAAUAAAAGCUUGUAUUAACCAGAAUAAGAUUUUUUGAAUGUAUACGAAUGAAAGUUUAAAAAUUACAGAAUUAAAGUAAAGGAAUUUACAAGAAUGAAAUUUAGAUGAACUUGAAGAAAAUAGAAAAGAAAAUAUCUUAAUGUUUACAAAGUUUAAAAAUGAGAGACGAGAGUAUAAGAAAUUUCUGGCAUGGCAUGGAUAUAAAAGUAGGAAUAGCAGCCCAUUCACGCACAACCGGCAUUUAUUUGGAUUCUAAAGAAGAAUAACAGUAAAAAGAUUACUUUACAAUACUUUUCCGACGCGAUAAGCUCUUCAAGGUACCAAAUUGCGUCUUCACAUCUUCCUACAAGUUAAAGCUUUUAUCAAUAUAAUUGAGACUGAGAAAAGUUUGCGGUGGCAUGAAAUUCAUAAGCAGCUAGGCCCUCGACACAUGCAGGUGUAGAGUCAAGACCCUUAAUAAAGUGUAUACUGGUUAAAGGUACCCUAAGGUUAGUCAUGCAACAUAAUUAGAUUAUAGAAAUGUCCAACAGAAGAGCGAAAGAUUUAAUGCUUUUUAUUGGAUGUUUGCUUCAUAUGAUACUAUCUUUGCACCUUAUUAUGCAUCAAUAGCCCAGUUGUAAAAGCUUUACAAAGAACUUCACAAGGAAAAAAAUUAUUUCUUUAAGUCACAAAAUUUCAGUUUUCCACAGCCGAUAGCUUACGUAAAUUUCUAUAUUAAUGCGUUAUGCAUAAUGUAGAACUAUUAUAUUUCUGCAUAAAAAAGAAGAAAUUUUGGGGUAUAAAAAAUUGGAAAGAAAUGUUGAUCUUCAAGAGGGGGUGGCAACAGAAGCGCUAUAAUUUUGUUAGAUGCACAAGCACUACUUCAAAUAUCACUUGCUUAAAUGUUUGCUUCAUUUCCUCAGUCCAUUUCAAAAGAACAUCUUUUGCAAACCACCCCCCCUGAUGACUCUCUAGAAACGCUUUGUGUUGUUUAUCGCAAAUUAUUCAGCAUAAACUCACAAAAUUUGAAAAUGUUUGUAAUUCUCUACAGAUAUCUGGGGUGGCCACAUCUUACAGCCCCCAUAGCUGCUACGUUCAUGAUAAAGAGUCGUCAUAAAUGGAAAUUCACUUAUUAUAACCUUGGAAAUAUAAACUUAUCAGGGCUGUCGGGUAUUCGUCUAUUGCCAAAAAUUACUUGACAGGAAUUACUUGCUCAAAAAAUUAAUCUCUGAUGUUAUAUCACCGUCCCAUUAUUCGAUAGUGAUUCUCAAGUAACUUACUACCGAUAACAAUUUUGUUUUCACUAGACGGGAUUUUCACAUGGACUGUUCUUUUGGAUUGGUUGUCGGAACAAGUCGCAAAGUUAGAUUGCAGUGGGAGUUCUCCUUUCAUGGGGCCUGCAUUCCAAGCUUAACAAAAAUGUAGGUUCAAACUACAUUGCAUUUUGUAUGUACUUGUCACCAUUUACAGGUGUAACAAGAUUGGCCCUGUUGCAAACAUAGACAUGAUUGGAUUCUAUGAAAUAACAUCCAAAGCCUUACAAUUUUCUUCCACGAAAAGGGUGCAUUGAAGGUUGAAAUAAACUAGCAUACCUUUCUAUGCUCAAUAUGCACUAAUCAUAAAGAUAGAAAGACAUUGGGACUUACCAACAUUGAUGUAUGCUUCAGAAACAUCCAAAUACAAGUCCCCAACGUCUUCUAAAGAUUCUUUAAAUAACGGGCAAAGAACGCGCUGUGGGAGAAAGAGCAUCAAAAUAAUAUGCUGGAUGUUUUUUAGAAUGCUGGAUGUUUUUUAGAAGACUGUUCGGUAUUGGUGAGAGUAUUUCAAGGUAUUUUCUGGCAAGGUAUGUCAAGGUGUUUACUGGCAAGGUAUUUUCUCAAUCACUGAGCAACGAAAAGAAACAUAAAGAAUUUGUAGAUAUUAAGCAUUAUCGAUACAAAGGAAAUGGUAGAUAAAAUUACAAACAUAUAGUCAACACCUAUAUGUUUAAUGAACUGGCCACGGAUGAUCAAGGCAAAAUACAAAACCUCACACUUAUCAAACAUCAAGUAGUAUUGCAUCAUUUUUUUACUACUGACUACCAAAAAGUCCUUUUUACCGAAUCGAAGCUAAAUUUACCGAAGGAAACAAAAAUAUUGGGGGGAGAGAGGUAUCACACCCCUCAAAAACCCCCUGGCAUGUCUCUCCCUGUGAACAGCAUAUCAAUAAGUGGCUAGAUGAGUUUUGCGAGAGACCAAGUACAUGCUACCAGAAAUAAAGACGACAAACAAUGUUUACCUGGACG